rnacentral:rRNA from 2 species
UACGAGGGGAGCUAGCGUUAUUCGGAAUUACUGGGCGUAAAGCGCACGUAGGCGGCUUUGUAAGUUAGAGGUGAAAGCCCAGAGCUCAACUCUGGAAUUGCCUUUAAGACUGCAUCGCUUGAAUCCAGGAGAGGUGAGUGGAAUUCCGAGUGUAGAGGUGAAAUUCGUAGAUAUUCGGAAGAACACCAGUGGCGAAGGCGGCUCACUGGACUGGUAUUGACGCUGAGGUGCGAAAGCGUGGGGAGCAAACAGG